GCCGGAGUGGUGGAAUUGGUAGACACAAGGGACUUAAAAUCCCUCGGACCUUGGUCCGUGCCGGUUCGAUUCCGGCCUCUGGUACCA
rnacentral:tRNA from 1 species